AAGUCGUAACAAGGUUUCCGUAGGUAAGUAGUGGUUGCGUCCUCUUCCUCUGUUAAAAACAUAUGCUAACGUGGAAUUUCUAGGUGAACCUGCGGAAGGAUCAUUAACGAGUUAGGGUCUUUCCGGCCCGACCUCCCAACCCUGUGUUUACUAAACCUUUGUUGCUUCGGCGGGCCCGUCUCACGACCGUCGGGGGACUGUAAGACGUCUCCUGACCCGUGUCCGCCGGUGGCCAAACUUAAUAAACUCUGGUUAAAAUGUGUCAUGGUCUGAGUACAAUUUUUAAUUAAAGUAAAACUUUCAACAACGGAUCUCUUGGUUCUGGCAUCGAUGAAGAACGCAGCGAAAUGCGAUAAGUAAUGCGAAUUGCAGAAUUCCAGUGAGUCAUCGAAUCUUUGAACGCACAUUGCGCCCUUCGGUAUUCCGAAGGGCAUGCCUGUUCGAGCGUCAUUAUCACCCCUCAAGUCCCUGGCUUGGUGUUGGACGGUUUAGCCUUGGUGACGAGGCCCGUUUUAAAAUUAAUGACGGCGGCCUGUUCGAUCCCCGGUACACUGAGCUUCUUAACUGAGCACGUAUAGGUUAAAGGGUAGGCAGGACCCGGUCUUCUUUCUUAACCGGAAACUCUUUCCAAGGUUGACCUCGAAUCAGGUAGGGAUACCCGCUGAACUUAA
rnacentral:rRNA from 1 species